GAGUUUGAUCGUGGCUCAGAUUGAACGCUGGCGGCAGGCCUAACACAUGCAAGUCGAGCGGAUGACGGGAGCUUGCUCCUUGAUUCAGCGGCGGACGGGUGAGUAAUGCCUAGGAAUCUGCCUGGUAGUGGGGGACAGCGUUUCGAAAGGAACGCUAAUACCGCAUACGUCCUACGGGAGAAAGCAGGGGACCUUCGGGCCUUGCGCUAUCAGAUGAGCCUAGGUCGGAUUAGCUAGUCGGUGGGGUAAUGGCUCACCAAGGCGACGGUCCGUAACUGGUCUGAGAGGAUGAUCAGUCACACUGGAACUGAGACACGGUCCAGACUCCUACGGGAGGCAGCAGUGGGGAAUAUUGGACAAUGGGCGAAAGCCUGAUCCAGCCAUGCCGCGUGUGUGAAGAAGGUCUUCGGAUUGUAAAGCACUUUAAGUUGGGAGGAAGGGCAGUAAGUUAAUACCUUGCUGUUUUGACGUUACCGACAGGAUAAGCACCGGCUAACUCUGUGCCAGCAGCCG
rnacentral:rRNA from 1 species